AGUGAUCAGUCACAACGAAGUUGAUUGAUGGCCAUGGAACUUUCUGGAACGGGCUGUGGGCUGCUCAGCAGGACCCUGGACAAGGGGACAGAUUUGGAAUGAGCAGUCUCCUCACAUUCGUUCUUACAGAGCUGUUGAGAGCACAGACUCUGGAGCCGGUGUGCCUGGCUCAAAUCUCAGCUCUGGCACUUAGGAUCUCUGUGAACCUGAGCAGGGAACUUCGCCUGUCUGAGUCAUACUGUCCUCAUCCAUAAAAUGGGAUGAUAACAGACUCUAUGUCAUCGGCGUGCUGUAUUAAAUGAAUGAAUACACAAAAAGUGCUCAGAAGAGGACCUCCCCAGAAUGCUGUCUGAAAGUCUUGCAAUGAAAAGAGCCUGCUAUCUACCUGAAAUGAAUGUGGAAGGAGCUGGCAAGCAGCCUGAGCGGACCCAGACAGACCUGGUUACCAUGGGCCGGCCACUGAACCAGACGCAGGAGACGCUCCCACGCACGCCAGGGCCACAUGGUCCUUCGCAAGUUAGACCAUUGCUUCUUGUUCUAUAUGAAAGUCCUGGUGAGCCGUUUUAUCCUUUCAGAACGGUUUGAGGGAGGGAGCUUCAGUUAACCUCUUUUGAAAAUCUGAACUGUUCCGUUCCCAUUGGGUUGGCUAGAGCGGAAGAGAAGCCAAUCAGUCGUAAACCCGCUACUGCUAAUGACAUUUUCAACAGAAACUUUUGGUCUUCACGGGAAAAAUCCUGAAGCUCUGUGCCAGGAUUAAAUAUCCCAGCGUCCUCUGCCCAUGACCAUCGUUCAGCAAGAGCGAACGUUUUGCCAAUCACUGCCGUGAACGCAGACUGCCAGUCCUGGGGCUCCCCAAGGGGGUCUUGUAAAAGUUACUCAUGAUUGAGGCA